rnacentral:rRNA from 1 species
GGCUAACGCUGGCGGCGUGUCUUAGCCAUGCAAGUCGAGCGGACUUAUGGGGUAACUUAUAAGUCAGCGGCGGACGGCGGAGUAACACGUAGCUAACCUACCCUCUGGACGGGGAUAACCUACCGAAAGGUGGGCUAAUACCCGAUGUAGUCAUCCUGUAUAGGGGUGAUGAAAGGUGGGCUUCUGUUUACAAGCUCAUGCUGGAGGAGGGGGCUGCGGCCUAUCAGGUAGUUGGUAGGGUAAUAGCCUACCAAGCCGAUGACGGGUAGCCGGCCUGAGAGGGUGACCGGCCCGAGGGGCACUGAGAUACGGGUCCCACUCCUACGGGAGGCAGCAGGCUAGAAAUUUGGGCAAUGGGGGAAACCCUGACCCAGUGACGCCGCGUGCAGGAAGGAGCCCUUCGGGGUGUAAACUGCUGCCGUGUAGGGAGAAGGGUACUAAGGUGAACAAUCUUAGUACUUGACGGUACUACAGGAGGAAGCCCAGGCUAACCUCGUG